GCCGGGCGUGGUGGUGCACGCCUGUAAUCCCAGCUACUCAGGAGGCUGAGGAAGGAGAAUUGCUUGAACCCAGGAGGCGGAGGUUGCAGUGAGCUGAGAUCGCGCCACUGCACUCCAACCUGGGUGACAGAGCAAGACUCCAUCUCAA
rnacentral:SRP_RNA from 2 species